rnacentral:lncRNA from 1 species
GGUUCUGCUUUAUAAUAAGAUGUGCAAUUUUGAUAUGCCUUGUAAAUGGGGACAGUGCUGCUUAAGAAAAAACGGAAGAAAUUCUUGUCGUCCUAGUGCACGUUAUGGAGCACGCUGCACAAACAUUUCUUCGCGUGGCAUCUACAAGAAUCAUUGUGAUUGUUUUUUAAACCAAGAUUCGCAGUGUCGGCCAGCCAUGCCAUGCAAGAGCACCGUGCAUAAAUUGGGCGUGCUGUCGAAAAUAUGGCCGUGAAUCAGCGUGUUACCCUAGAGCCCGAAGAGGAAAUCGCUGCUCAAUUGUUCACUUCAAUGGAACAUACCACAAGCAUUGCCCGUGUGCGCCUGGGCAUGGCAGGUGUUCUUUUGGAUCAUGCAAACUAGAAAAUACCAACAGACACUCUUAUCACCCGAGAUUGUAGUUCUUGUCAGUA